rnacentral:rRNA from 1 species
UCCUUCUGAAGGACACCCCGGGAACUGGGGCUAAUCCCAGAUAGAUGAAGACCCCUGGAACGGGUCCUCGUCCAAAAGGCACCACGGUUAUGCUCUGCGGUGUCGCUCAAGGAUGGGGCCGCGUCCGAUCAGGCUGUUGGUGAGGUAAUGGCUCACCAAACCUAUAACCGGUACGGGCCGUGGGAGCGGGAGCCCGGAGAUGGGAACUGAGACAAGGUCCCAGGCCCUACGGGGCGCAGCAGUUACGAAAACUUGUCAAUGCACGAAAGUGUGAACGGGCUACCCCGAGUGCCGUCCGCUGAGGAUGGCUUUUCUCUGCUUUAAGAAGGCAGAGGAAUAAGGCGAGGGCAAGUCUGGUGUCAGCCGCCGCGGUAAUACCAGCUCGCCGAGUGGUAGGGAUGAUUAUUGGGCCUAAAGCGUCCGUAGCUGGCCUUUCAAGUCUCUUGUUAAAUCCAACGAUUCAAUCGCUGGACUGCAGGAGAUACUGUGAGGCUAGGAGGCGAGAGAAGCCGACGGUAUUUUCGGGGUAGGGGUAAAAUCCUAUAAUCCCGAGAAGACCACCAGUGGCGAAGGCGGUCGGCUAGCGCGCGCUCGACAGUGAGGGACGAAAGCUGGGGGAGCGAACCGGAUUAGAUACCCGGGUAGUCCCAGCUGUAAACGAUGCUGGCUAGGUGUUGAAGCGGCCACGAGCCGCUUCAGUGCCGCAGGAAAGCCAUUAAGCCAACCGCCUGGGGAGUACGGCCGCAAGGCUGAAACUUAAAGGAAUUGGCGGGGGAGCAC